CUGCUGGCUCUUUUACCUGUUGCAGUUCGUCCUCCUCAUCCUUGAUUUUUUAUGGAAGGACGACGGCCUUUGCAUUUCGCGAUUCUUGGAGGAGAAAAAAAUGUCUACCUCGACCCGCAACGAAGCAGAAAAAGGAGUUCAAGCUCAGGUUCCAACUUGGAACCACUGGAUAACCUUUUGAAGAUAACUGGUGAACUCUACUCCCUCGCAAGAGAAUGCUUUUUAUAAUUGAAGAAGCAUCUACAUUAACUAUGUAACGUUUCUUGCCGACCCACCUGUCUCUGCCUCUUCCGUCGUCGUCUUUGAAGCCAACGUCAACACUUCUAUGGAGUCAAUGGUUGAACCUUUCCUGCCCAAAUCCAUAGGUUUUCAAAAAUUUCCAUGAGUGAAGGUCUUUCCACCACAAGCAAUAGUUGUCUAUUUAUGAUUAGCGAUUGGGAACAGGACUUCAGCCAUCGGAGUUGUAUCUAUGCCAUUUCGUAAUCUUAACUUUCAUACGAAUAAAUAAUUUUAAAGAA